rnacentral:rRNA from 1 species
AGUGAACGCUGGCGGUAGGCCUAACACAUGCAAGUCGAACGGCAGCACAGUAAGAGCUUGCUCUUACGGGUGGCGAGUGGCGGACGGGUGAUGAAUACAUCGGAAUCUACUUUUUCGUGGGGGAUAACGUAGGGAAACUUACGCUAAUACCGCAUACGACCUACGGGUGAAAGCAGGGGAUCUUCGUACCUUGCGCGAUUGAAUGAGCCGAUGUCGGAUUAGCUAGUUGGCGGGGUAAAGGCCCACCAAGGCGACGAUCCGUAGCUGGUCUGAGAGGAUGAUCAGCCACACUGGAACUGAGACACGGUCCAGACUCCUACGGGAGGCAGCAGUGGGGAAUAUUGGACAAUGGGCGCAAGCCUGAUCCAGCCAUACCGCGUGGGUGAAGAAGGCCUUCGGGUUGUAAAGCCCUUUUGUUGGGAAAGAAAAGCAGCAGGUUAAUACCCCGCUGUUCUGACGGUACCCAAAGAAUAAGCACCGGCUAACUUCGUG